rnacentral:rRNA from 1 species
UGCAGUCGAGUGCGCGCCUGUAGCAAUACAGGUGGCGCACGGCGCACGGGUGCGUAACACGUGGGUAAUCUGCCCUUCGAUGGGGAAUAACUCGCCGAAAGGCGAGCUAAUUCCGCAUAACAUUCCGGGGACUUUGGUCCUUGGAUUCAAAGGCGUAAGUCGUCGGAGGAGGAGCCCGCGCACGAUUAGCUAGUUGGUGAGGUAAUGGCUCACCAAGGCUAUGAUCGUUAGCUGGUCUGAGAGGAUGGCCAGCCACACUGGAACUGAGACACGGUCCAGACUCCUACGGGAGGCAGCAGUGGGGAAUCUUGCACAAUGGGCGAAAGCCUGAUGCAGCGACGCCGCGUGGGGGAUGAAGCUUUUCGGAGUGUAAACCCCUUUCGACCCGGACGAAUGCCCCGCAAGGGGACUGACGGUACGGGUAUAAGAAGCCCCGGCUAACUACGUGCCAGCAGCCGCGGUAAGACGUAGGGGGCCAGCGUUGCUCGGAAUUACUGGGUGUAAAGGGUUCGUAGGCGGUGUGGCAAGUCGGGAGUGAAAUCUCUGGGCUCAACCCAGAGUCUGCUUCCGAAACUGCUGUGCUUGAGUGUGGGAGAGGCGCGUGGAAUUGCAGGUGUAGCGGUGAAAUGCGUAGAUAUCUGCAGGAACACCCGUGGCGAAAGCGGCGCGCUGGACCACUACUGACGCUGAGGAACGAAAGCUAGGGGAGCAAACAGGAUUAGAUACCCUGGUAGUCCUAGCCCUAAACGAUCAGGACUUGGGGUGCCGCCCGUUCGGGCGUCGUCCCGGAGCUAACGCGUUAAGUCCUGCACCUGGGGAGUACGGUCGCAAGACUGAAACUCAAAGGAAUUGACGGGGGCCCGCACAAGCGGUGGAACAUGUGGUUCAAUUCGACGCUACGCGAGGA